GGCACGUUCGUUAGAUCCGUCUCGGUUUUCUUAAGAGACGCUUGAGUCAUUGGCGUGCAAUAAUAUGCAAUACCUUCUUAUCAGUUUCCAUUCUUAACGUUUUCACUCCUUUUGAGAAUAUAUUUAUCAGAGUGCAUAUAAAGCGUUAAGAAAACUGACGAGUGGACAUU